rnacentral:rRNA from 1 species
UAACUGCGAGUGAAGCGGGAAAAGCUCAAAUUUAAAAUCUGGCGGUCCUUGGCCGUCCGAGUUGUAAUUUAGAGAAGCGUCUUCCGCGCCGGACCGUGCACAAGUCUCCUGGAAUGGAGCGUCGUAGAGGGUGAGAAUCCCGUCUUUGGCACGGAUCCCCGGUGCUUCUGUGAUGCGCUCUCGAAGAGUCGAGUUGUUUGGGAAUGCAGCUCAAAAUGGGUGGUGAACUCCAUCUAAAGCUAAAUAUUGGCGAGAGACCGAUAGCGAACAAGUACCGUGAGGGAAAGAUGAAAAGCACUUUGGAAAGAGAGUGAAACAGUACGUGAAAUUGUUGAAAGGGAAACGCUUGAAGUCAGUCGCGUCGACCGAGACUCAGCCUCGCCUUGGCUUGGUGUACUUCUCGGCACGACGGGUCAGCGUCGAUUUCGUCUCUCGGAAAAUGGCAAGGGAAAGGUGGCACCUUUGCGGGUGUGUUAUAGUCUCCUGUCGCACGCGAGGGGUUGGAUCGAGGAACUCAGCACGCGCCUUUUGGUGUCGGGGCUUUGGCCCACGUAACGUGCUUAGGACGCUGGCGUAAUGGCUUUAAACGACCCGUCUUGAAACACGGACCAAGGAGUCCAACAUGCCCGCGAGUGUUCGGGUGGAAAACCCGUGCGCGUAAUUAAAGUGAAAGUUGGGACCUCUGUCGUGGAGGGCACCGACGCCCGGACCAGACCUUCUGUGACGGAUCUGCGGUAGAGCGUGUAUGUUGGGACCCGAAAGAUGGUGAACUAUGCCUGAAUAGGGUGAAGCCAGAGGAAACUCUGGUGGAGGCUCGUAGCGAUUCUGACGUGCAAAUCGAUCGUCAAAUUUGGGUAUA